rfam:TPA: Bos taurus chromosome 2, whole genome shotgun sequence.
UCCCUAUUGGCUCAGCUGGUAAAGAAUCUGCCUGCAAUGCAGGAGACCCUGGUUUGAUUCCUGGGUCAGGAA